rnacentral:rRNA from 1 species
UACGUAGGGGGCUAGCGUUGUCCGGAAUCAUUGGGCGUAAAGCGCGUGUAGGCGGUUCGGUAAGUCCGCUGUGAAAGUCGGGGGCUCAACCCUCGGAUGCCGGUGGAAACUGUCGGACUAGAGUACGGAAGAGGCGAGUGGAAUUCCUGGUGUAGCGGUGAAAUGCGCAGAUAUCAGGAGGAACACCUAUUGCGAAGGCAGCUCGCUGGGACGUAACUGACGCUGAGACGCGAAAGCGUGGGGAGCAAACAGG